rnacentral:tRNA from 1 species
UGGGGUCUAGCUCAGUUGGUAGAGUGACUGCCUAGCAUGCAUGAAGCCCUAGGCACAACCCCUAGCACCUCAU